GGCAUGGCGCAGUGGCAACGCAUUUCACUUGUAAUGAAAAGAUCCCCAGUUCAAUCCUGG
rnacentral:tRNA from 1 species